GAUGAACGCUGGCGGCGUGCCUAAUACAUGCAAGUCGAGCGGACAGACGCGGAGCUUGCUCCUCUGACGUUAGCGGCGGGCGGGAGAGUAACACGUGGAUAACCUACCUAUCAGACUGGGAUCACUUCGGAAAACGGGAGCUAAUACCGGAUAAUAUCUUGAACCGCAUGGUGCAUUGGUGAAAGACGGUUUUGCUGUCAGUUCUCGAUGGAUCCGCGCCGCAUGAGCUAGUUGGUAAGGUAACGGCUUACCAAGGCAACGAUGCGUAGCCGACCUGAGAGGGUGAUCGGCCACACUGGAACUUAGACACGGUCCAGGCUACUACGGGAGGCAGCAGUAGGGAAUGUGCCGCAAUGGGCGAAAGCCUGACGGAGCAACGCCGCGUGAGUGAUGAAGGCGUCCGGAUCGUAAAACUCGGUUAUUAGGGAAGAACAAAUGUGUAAGUAACUAUGCACGUCUUGACGGUACCUAAUCAGAAAGCAACGGCUAACUACGUG
rnacentral:rRNA from 1 species